UUCUCAUACAGGUGGAAUCUGCUGUCCUUGGUCUGCCUGGGAAUGACAUCUGUCCUGUGGGGCAUUUCUGCCCCACUGGUACAGGGUAUCCCAUCCCCUGUCCUCCUGGAUCCUUCUCUACUUCCCUGGGCCUGGAGGCAGAGGAACAGUGCCAGCCCUGUCCAGCUGGGCGGUAUUGCAGUGAGGCAGGACUGUCCGAUCUGGCGCAGACAUCGCUGUGUAAUGCAGGAUUUGUUUGUCUGGAAGGAAACUCUGCUCCCUGCCCUUCUGACAGAAUUCAUGGAUACAGAUGUCCCAGUGGCUUCUACUGUCCUGCUGGCACUGGGCUAGAACUGCCCUGUGAGCCUGGCACGUUCAGCCCUAUGCCUGGGGCGAGUGUCUGCCUCCCUUGCCCAGCUGGUAUGACCUGCAGCAAUGCUGCCACUGUGAAGCCACUCCGUUGCCCCAGAGGUUACUAUUGCCCUGUUCGGACCGCUGCCCCACUGCCGUGCCCCGAGGGCACGCUGAACACUUUGGAGGGGGCGUUGUCCCCCACUGCCUGCAAGCUGUGCCCGGUGGGGAGAUACUGCAGGGGUGAUGCUAACUGGGAAGCUGACGGUCUGUGCUCAGCUGGGUACUACUGUGAAGGAGGAUCCACUGAUGCCGUUCCACAUAGGACACCUGGGUUCCCGCUCAAUGGGCCCUGUCCGCUUGGGCACUAUUGUCCGGAGGGCACUCGUGGCCCAGUAGCCUGCCCAGUAGGCACCCUGAACAAUGCCACAGGUGGUGCCUCCCCAGAGAGCUGUGUGCCAUGCUAUCCUGGAUCUUUCUGUGCCGGCACUGGUUUGAGUUCUCCAACGGGGCCUUGUAUUGAAGGGUUCUACUGCCCAGCAAACUUCAGCUCCUUCAGCCCCACCGCAUUUCUCUGCCCUAAGGGUCACUUCUGCCGUUCGGGAGCUGCCCACCCAGUGCCCUGCCCUGCUGGAGAAUACCAGCCAACCAGGGGCUCCGCGUCCUGCAUUCCAUGCCAGAGAGGAUUCUACUGCCAGGAGGCAGUGGCAGGAGACCCCAAGCGCUGCCCCCCUCACACUUACUGUCCUACAGGCACCCGGGUUCCUCACCCAUGUCCAGAAGGCACCUUCACUCUUUCAAAUACGACUGGUCUCUGGAAUGAGAAGGAGUGCUUGGCUUGCCUACCUGGUCACUACUGCAGGCAUGGACGGCUGGAGGGAAAGUGUGCUGCUGGGUACUUCUGCCUUGCUGGGAGCUCUCAGUCUACUCCACAGGGCCACAGUUUUUCCUGGCGCUUCCUGUCUGAGUGCCGCUGGGGGCAGGCGUGUGCAGGGCUGUGCCCUGCAGGUUUCUACUGCCAGGAGGGCUCUGAGGUGCCUAUACCAUGUCCUGCCAAUACCAUUAGAAACAUCCCAGGGGCAAAGCAGAGAGAAGACUGCCUGCCCUGUCCACCAGGCCGCUGGUGCAAAGCAGGGGAUUCAGAGGCCUAUCCAUGUCCCUCAGGACACUAUUGCUUUGGAGGCAAUGGUACUGACCACAGCAGUCUUCUGGCACCUCAGAAAUGCCCUCCACGUACUUAUCGCGAGUACCCAGGAGCUCAGAGCCUGGCAGAUUGCCAGCCGUGCCCUCCAGGCUAUCAUUGCCCUUUAUCAGGUCUGACCAAUUUUGAAGAUCAUCCCUGCCCCCUGGGAUACUGGUGCCCUGGUAAAGGGGAUGCUUUCCUUUGUCCACCUGGCACUUCCAGGAUCCAGACUGGGGCAACGUCUUUGGAAGAGUGUGAUCCCUGCUCGCCCGGAUAUUUUUGCCCAGAUCCGGCACAGACAGGGCUGCCGAACACCCGAGAAGUGCCUUGUAAACCCGGCUAUGAAUGCCCACCAGGUUCAGUAAAUCCAAUCCCGUGCAGGCCUGGCUCAUACUGUGGUGUUGGCACAGCCAUGCCUUCCACGUGCCCUGGUGGAUAUUAUUGUCCCGAAGGAUCAUCAACGUACAAYAGCCCUGAGCAGCUGUGUGUGUUUCCCUACUACUGUCCCCCAGGCAGUGCCCAUCCAUUGGUCUGUGAAGGAGGAUACAUGGCACUCAGUUUGCCUGGUCCAAGGGAUUCCUUUGAGAAAUUCUGCAGGAUCUGUGACGCAGGCACCUAUCGCAACGACUCUCUCGUCGCAGCACCGUGUCAGCCCUGCCCAGCAGGCUUCGUCUGCCCACAGGGCAGUGAGAGUUACCAGCAGCAGCCUUGCCCCAGAGGCUAUUACUGCCCUCCCCUGGUGCCUGCCCCUCUGCCCUGUCCCCCUGGGACCCAUGGGAGCAGCAACUUUGCGAAGCGUGUAGAGGAGUGCCAGGCCUGUCCUGCUGGUUCCUUCAAUCACCUUCCGGCUCAGCCUGCAUGUUUCCCCUGUGGCAGCUCUUCCUCCUCUCUGCCUGGUGAGUUGCUGUUCGUGAGUGAAACUUUCACCUCUGUUAAGAGAAAGACUGAAAAGGGAAACACCUAGAAAUGCGAUU
ensembl:lncRNA